rnacentral:rRNA from 1 species
UACGAAGGGGGCUAGCGUUGCUCGGAAUCACUGGGCGUAAAGCGCACGUAGGCGGCUUUUUAAGUCAGGGGUGAAAUCCUGGAGCUCAACUCCAGAACUGCCUUUGAUACUGGGAAGCUUGAGUCCGGGAGAGGUGAGUGGAACUCCGAGUGUAGAGGUGAAAUUCGUAGAUAUCAGGAGGAACACCGAUGGCGAAGGCAGCUCGCUGGGACGGUACUGACGCUGAGGCGCGAAAGCGUGGGGAGCAAACAGGG